UACGGAGGGUGCGAGCGUUGUCCGGAAUCACUGGGCGUAAAGGGCGCGUAGGCGGCCUGAUAAGUAGGGGGUGAAAUCCUGCGGCUUAACCGCAGGGCUGCCUUCUAAACUGUCAGGCUCGAGCACGGUAGAGGCAGAUGGAAUUCCCGGUGUAGCGGUGGAAUGCGUAGAGAUCGGGAAGAACAUCAGUGGCGAAGGCGGUCUGCUGGGCCGUUGCUGACGCUGAGGCGCGACAGCGUGGGGAGCAAACAGG
rnacentral:rRNA from 1 species